rnacentral:rRNA from 1 species
GACGAACGCUGGCGGCGUGCUUAACACAUGCAAGUCGAACGAUGAAGCCCAGCUUGCUGGGUGGAAGAGUGGCGAACGGGUGAGUAACACGUUAGUAACUUGCCCUGCACUCUGGGAUAAGCACUGGAAACGGUGUCUAAUACUGGAUACGACCUAUCACCGCAUGGUGUGUGGGUGGAAAGAUUUAUCGGUUCUGGAUGGACUCGCGGCCUAUCAGCUAGAUGGUGAGGUAAUGGCACACCAUGGCGACGACGGGUAGCCGGCCUGAGAGGGUGACCGGCCACACUGGGACUGAGACACGGCCCAGACUCCUACGGGAGGCAGCAGUGGGGAAUAUUGCACAAUGGGCGCAAGCCUGAUGCAGCAACGCCGCGUGAGGGAUGACGGCCUUCGGGUUGUAAACCUCUUUUAGUAGGGAAGAAGCGAAAGUGACGGUACCUGCAGAAAAAGCACCGGCUAACUACGUG